rnacentral:rRNA from 1 species
GACGUAGGUGGCGAACGUUAUCCGGAAUCAUUGGGCGUAAAGGGUGCGUAGAUGGCAUGAUAAGUUAUUAGUGGGAAAUCGAGGCUCAACCUCGUGGAAGCUAGUAAUACUGUUUUGCUUGAGUACAGAAGAGGUUAACGGAACUCCAUGUGGAGCGGUAAAAUGCGUAGAUAUAUGGAAGAACACCAAUAACGGCGAAGGCAGUUAACUAUUCUGUUACUGACAUUGAGGCACGAAAGCGUGGGGGAGCAAAACGG